rnacentral:rRNA from 1 species
AGGCUGCAACUCGCCUGCAUGAAGUCGGAAUUGCUAGUAAUCGCAGAUCAGCAUGCUGCGGUGAAUACGUUCCCGGGCCUUGUACACACCGCCCGUCACACCAUGAGAGUCGGGAACACCCGAAGUCCGUAGUCUAACCGCAAGGGGGGCGCGGCCGAAGGUGGGUCCGGUAAUUGGGGUGAAGUCGUAACAAGGUACC